rnacentral:rRNA from 1 species
UACGUAGGGUGCGAGCGUUAAUCGGAAUUACUGGGCGUAAAGCGUGCGCAGGCGGUUUUGUAAGCCAGAUGUGAAAUCCCCGGGCUCAACCUGGGAAUGGCAUUUGGGACUGCAUCGCUGGAGUGCGGCAGAGGGGGAUGGAAUUCCGCGUGUAGCAGUGAAAUGCGUAGAUAUGCGGAGGAACACCGAUGGCGAAGGCAAUCCCCUGGGCCUGCACUGACGCUGAUGCACGAAAGCUAGGGGAGCAAACAGG